CUGCAUGGCUGUCGUCAGCUCGUGUCGUGAGAUGUUGGGUUAAGUCCCGCAACGAGCGCAACCCUUGUCAUCAGUUGCCGCAUUGAGUUGGGCACUCUGAUGAGACUGCCGGUGACAAACCGGAGGAAGGUGGGGAUGACGUCAAGUCCUCAAGGCCCUUAUAGGUGGGGCUACACACGUCAUACAAUGGCCGGUACAGAGGGCAAGCCAACCCGCGAGGGGGAGCCAAUCCCAAAAAGCCGGUCGUAGUCCGGAUCGCAGUCUGCAACUCGACUGCGUGAAGUCGGAAUCGCUAGUAAUCGCGGAUCAGAACGCCGCGGUGAAUACGUUCCCGGGUCUUGUACACACCGCCCGUCACACCAUGGGAGCGGGUUCUGCCAGAAGUAGUUAGCCUAACCGCAAGG
rnacentral:rRNA from 1 species